rnacentral:misc_RNA from 1 species
UCUCCGUGUCCGGGGCCGGCCG